AGUGAACGCUGGCGGUAGGCCUAACACAUGCAAGUCGAACGGCGGCACAGUAAGAGCUUGCUCUUACGGGUGGCGAGUGGCGGACGAGUGAGGAAUACAUCGGAAUCUACUUUUUCGUGGGGGAUAACGUAGGGAAACUUACGCUAAUACCGCAUACGACCUACGGGUGAAAGCAGGGGAUCUUCGGACCUUGCGCGAUUGAAUGAGCCGAUGUCGGAUUAGCUAGUUGGCGGGGUAAAGGCCCACCAAGGCGACGAUCCGUAGCUGGUCUGAGAGGAUGAUCAGCCACACUGGAACUGAGACACGGUCCAGACUCCUACGGGAGGCAGCAGUGGGGAAUAUUGGACAAUGGGCGCAAGCCUGAUCCAGCCAUACCGCGUGGGUGAAGAAGGCCUUCGGGUUGUAAAGCCCUUUUGUUGGGAAAGAAAAGCAGCAGGUUAAUACCCCGCUGUUCUGACGGUACCCAAAGAAUAAGCACCGGCUAACUUCGUG
rnacentral:rRNA from 1 species